rnacentral:rRNA from 1 species
UACAGAGGUCUCAAGCGUUGUUCGGAUUCAUUGGGCGUAAAGGGUGCGUAGGCGGCGCGGUAAGUCGGGUGUGAAAUCUCGGAGCUUAACUCCGAAACUGCAUUCGAUACUGCCGUGCUUGAGGACUGGAGAGGAGACUGGAAUUUACGGUGUAGCGGUGAAAUGCGUAGAGAUCGGCAGGAACACCCAGGGGGAAACCAGUCGACUGGGCAGCACCUGACGCUGAGGUGCGAGAGCGUGGGGAGCGAACCGG